rnacentral:rRNA from 1 species
UACGAAGGGGGCUAGCGUUGCUCGGAAUUACUGGGCGUAAAGCGCACGUAGGCGGAUAUUUAAGUCAGGGGUGAAAUCCCGGGGCUCAACCCCGGAACUGCCUUUGAUACUGGGUAUCUCGAGUCCGAGAGAGGUGAGUGGAAUUCCGAGUGUAGAGGUGAAAUUCGUAGAUAUUCGGAGGAACACCAGUGGCGAAGGCGGCUCACUGGCUCGGUACUGACGCUGAGGUGCGAAAGCGUGGGGAGCAAACAGG